UAACUGAAGAGUUUGAUCAUGGCUCAGAUUGAACGCUGGCGGCAGGCUUAACACAUGCAAGUCGAGCGGGGGAAGGUAGCUUGCUACUGGACCUAGCGGCGGACGGGUGAGUAAUGCUUAGGAAUCUGCCUAUUAGUGGGGGACAACAUCUCGAAAGGGAUGCUAAUACCGCAUACGUCCUACGGGAGAAAGCAGGGGAUCUUCGGACCUUGCGCUAAUAGAUGAGCCUAAGUCGGAUUAGCUAGUUGGUGGGGUAAAGGCCUACCAAGGCGACGAUCUGUAGCGGGUCUGAGAGGAUGAUCCGCCACACUGGGACUGAGACACGGCCCAGACUCCUACGGGAGGCAGCAGUGGGGAAUAUUGGACAAUGGGGGGAACCCUGAUCCAGCCAUGCCGCGUGUGUGAAGAAGGCCUUAUGGUUGUAAAGCACUUUAAGCGAGGAGGAGGCUACUUUAGUUAAUACCUAGAGAUAGUGGACGUUACUCGCAGAAUAAGCACCGGCUAACUCUGUGCCAGCAGCCGCGGUAAUACAGAGGGUGCGAGCGUUAAUCGGAUUUACUGGGCGUAAAGCGUGCGUAGGCGGCUUAUUAAGUCGGAUGUGAAAUCCCCGAGCUUAACUUGGGAAUUGCAUUCGAUACUGGUGAGCUAGAGUAUGGGAGAGGAU
rnacentral:rRNA from 1 species